rnacentral:rRNA from 1 species
UACGUAGGGUGCAAGCGUUGUCCGGAAUUAUUGGGCGUAAAGAGCUUGUAGGCGGUUUGUCGCGUCUGCUGUGAAAUUUCGGGGCUCAACCCCGAACUUGCAGUGGGUACGGGCAGGACUAGAGUGUGGUAGGGGAGACGUGGAAGUUCCUGGUGUAGCGGUGAAAUGCGCAGAUAAUCAGGAGGAACACCGAUGGCGAAGGCAGGUCUCUGGGCCAUAACUGACGCUGAGAAGCGAAAGCAUGGGGAGCGAACAGGA